rnacentral:lncRNA from 1 species
AUGGUGGGAGAUGAGGCUGAAAAGGCAAGUAGGAAGAAGCCAGAAGCCAGAAAGAGGAGUUUGUAAAUCCUGUGGGAUGUGGGCUUCCCCUCUGAGGGCAAUGGGAAGUCAACGAAAGGUUCUGAGCAAGAAGUGAUAUGCUCAGGUCAGACUGCACUUACAGUUCACUCUGGAUACCACUUGGAAAUGGUACUAACAUGCAUCAUACCACCACUCCUACUUCCAGAUGUACACCCUCAACUGACUUCUGCAGAUCAACCUCCUGAAGGUGCCAAGUUCACAGAUGGCAAAGUAACAGAGAAGUAAACUGUAAUUUAAGGCUAUGGGUUCAGAACAGCACAGUCAAAAGAUUUUAAUAUGAGAGGAAAGGAAUUUCAAAUGAUUUGACCCAUGAGUUCAAUGUUUAAAGGUUUACUAGUAUUUUUUCCCACCUUAGCAAGGAAACUAAUUUAUUCCUAGAUUGGCCCAAGGGCGGAUCUCUCCUUCUCAAAGUAAUUUGCAGGUUGGACUACAAAGGACACACAGAAAUCCAGUGAAAAGAGAGAAAAGAGACAGAAAAAAGACAGGUUCUUGGCAUCUGCUUGCACUUCAGCCUGCAUUUCUGCCCACAUCGGACUCGGGCCAAACUGAGUACAGCAUCCAGUGGCUGGCUGAAGAACCUGCGACCUCCGCACUUCACUCACCAAGGGGGAUAAGUAAGACUCCUUCACACUGGGUACUUUUGAAGCAUUUGACAGAAACUCUUCUUAAUGGAGGUAUUAAAGGUUAAAGAACAAUUCUGAGACUGAGGGGUAAAAGAAAGAAAACUGUCUAAGUCAAGUGAAACCAUCUCUGACAGAAGUUCCACUAAAAGAGAAGACAGCUCCUAUUUUCCCACGAGCUCUUCAAGGGCUAAAGGCUGCAGAGAGAUAAUUGCCAAUUAAUCCCUUCAUGUUUUCAUUAAGUAAAUACUUACUAAACUUGCAACAUAUCCAGAGUUGUAUUUUAUUAUAUAAAUAUUGUAUAAUGAUUGUGCAUUUAUGCCGAGCAUUUUAUUAUAUAAUAAUACCAUAUAAUUACAGUAAAAGUAAUGGUAGUAUCUAUCUCACUGGGUUGUGGAGAGGAUAAAAU